CAGCCGCCACGGGAAUACGGAGGGUGCAAGCGUUAAUCGGAAUUACUGGGCGUAAAGCGCACGCAGGCGGUCUGACAAGUCAGAUGUGAAAUCCCCGGGCUUAACCUGGGAACUGCAUUUGAAACUGUCAGGCUGGAGUCUUGUAGAGGGGGGUAGAAUUCCAGGUGUAGCGGUGAAAUGCGUAGAGAUCUGGAGGAAUACCGGUGGCGAAGGCGGCCCCCUGGACAAAGACUGACGCUCAGGUGCGAAAGCGUGGGGAGCAAACAGGAUUAGAUACCCCAGUAGUCCCUGUCUCUUAUAA
rnacentral:rRNA from 1 species